UACGGGGGGGGCAAGCGUUGUUCGGAAUUACUGGGCGUAAAGGGCUCGUAGGCGGCCAACUAAGUCAGAUGUGAAAUCCCGGGGCUCAACCCCGGAACUGCAUCCGAUACUGCCGUGCUUGAGGGUUGGAGAGGUAGCUGGAAUUAUCGGUGUAGCAGUGAAAUGCGUGGAUAUCGAUAGGAACACUCGUGGCGAAGGCGAGCUACUGGACAACAUCUGACGCUGAGGCUCGAAGGCUAGGGGAGCAAAAGGG
rnacentral:rRNA from 1 species